UGAGGAAUAUUGGUCAAUGGACGAGAGUCUGAACCAGCCAAGUAGCGUGAAGGAUGAAGGUUCUAUGGAUUGUAAACUUCUUUUAUACGGGAAUAAACGAAUCCACGCGUGGAUUUUUGCAUGUACCGUAUGAAUAAGGAUCGGCUAACUCCGUGCCAGCAGCCGCGGUAAUACGGAGGAUCCGAGCGUUAUCCGGAUUUAUUGGGUUUAAAGGGAGCGUAGAUGGGUUGUUAAGUCAGUUGUGAAAGUUUGCGGCUCAACCGUAAAAUUGCAAUUGAUACUGGCAGUCUUGAGUACAGUUGAGGUAGGCGGAAUUCGUGGUGUAGCGGUGAAAUGCUUAGAUAUCACGAAGAACUCCGAUUGCGAAGGCAGCUUACUAACCUGUAACUGACAUUGAUGCUCGAAAGUGUGGGUAUCAAACAGGAUUAGAUACCCUGGUAGUCCACACGGUAAACGAUGAAUACUCGCUGUAGGCGAUAUACGGUCUGCGGCCAAGCGAAAGCAUUAAGUAUUCCACCUGGGGAGUACGCCGGCAACGGUGAAACUCAAAGGAAUUGACGGGGGCCCGCACAAGCGGAGGAACAUGUGGUUUAAUUCGAUGAUACGCGAGGAACCUUACCCGGGCUUAAAUUGCAACCGAAUAUGGCGGAAACGCCAUAGCUAGCAAUAGCGGUUGUGAAGGUGCUGCAUGGUUGUCGUCAGCUCGUGCCGUGAGGUGUCGGCUUAAGUGCCAUAACGAGCGCAACCCUUGCCGAUAGUUACUAACAGGUUAUGCUGAGGACUCUGUCGGGACUGCCAUCGUAAGAUGUGAGGAAGGUGGGGAUGACGUCAAAUCAGCACGGCCCUUACGUCCGGGGCUACACACGUGUUACAAUGGGGGGUACAGAGGGCUGCUACCACGCAAGUGGAUGCCAAUCCCAAAAACCUCUCUCAGUUCGGAUUGAAGUCUGCAACCCGACUUCAUGAAGCUGGAUUCGCUAGUAAUCGCGCAUCAGCCACGGCGCGGUGAAUACGUUCCC
rnacentral:rRNA from 1 species